UACGUAGGGUCCGAGCGUUGUCCGGAAUUACUGGGCGUAAAGAGCUCGUAGGUGGUUUGUCACGUUGUUCGUGAAAACCCACAGCUCAACUGUGGGCGUGCGAGCGAUACGGGCAGACUAGAGUACUGCAGGGGAGACUGGAAUUCCAGGUGUAGCGGUGAAAUGCGUAGAUAUCUGGAGGAACACCGGUGGCGAAGGCGGCAUCCUGGACCGAAACUGACACUGAGGCGCGAAAGCCAGGGGAGCAAACGGG
rnacentral:rRNA from 1 species